UAAAGUGCUUGAGUAAGGGCGAUUCCGAAUCAGACCGGGAUGUGGCAGAGUGCACUGACUCUUUUUCUCCCUUUCCUGCAGACCAUUCACAGGCGAUUCCACCUGGCCCUCUUGACAUCACUUCUGGUUCUGAGCCUAUGGAAGAAGACCUUGCCGGCUCCGGCCCCUAUGAUCCUAUGGUUGAAGACCCUUAUGAGCCCGACCCCUUUGACCUCAUUUCCUGUCUUCCCCUUUAAAAGCCUCCACCUUUUCCCUAUUCCCUCAGUUCUGUUUUGGACUCAGUUUUGUGCACAGCAGUGCUAUCAUUUACAUCAAUUUGCAGCCAGGAAACCAAAUAUAUUGGUGGCUGCCCCAAACCUU